UAUUAUUUUGGGAUGUAAAUUUUUGUGCCUGAGUAGUAUUAGUUAUGUUCUUGAAACUUAAAGAAUUUGGCGGUAUCUUAUUCCAUCCAGAGGAAUCUGUCUCGUUAUCGAUAGUCCGCGUUGGACCUUACUUAGUUGCUUUGGUUUGUAUACCGCCGUUUAUUGAUUAUCUUUUUAGGGUUUAUUUAAUUUUCUAUUUUCUUUAUUUUGAUUUAUUUCAGGUCAAGGUGCAGCUUGUUUCUAAGUGGGAAUGAUGGAUUACAUUGUUAUUUGUUUAUUGGAUUGUUGAUUUUAAUAUUGGUAUGAAAUUGGAUUUGGUUGUAAUGUUUUGUAGAUUGUUUUCAUGAUAAUUGGUUCUGGGAUAUGUACACAUCGCCCGUCGCUCUCGUUUAUUUGUUAAUGAG
rnacentral:rRNA from 1 species